rnacentral:rRNA from 1 species
GACGAACGCUGGCGGCGUGCUUAACACAUGCAAGUCGAACGGAAAGGCCCUGCUUUUGUGGGGUGCUCGAGUGGCGAACGGGUGAGUAACACGUGAGUAACCUGCCCUUGACUUUGGGAUAACUUCAGGAAACUGGGGCUAAUACCGGAUAGGAGCUCCUGCUGCAUGGUGGGGGUUGGAAAGUUUCGGCGGUUGGGGAUGGACUCGCGGCUUAUCAGCUUGUUGGUGGGGUAGUGGCUUACCAAGGCUUUGACGGGUAGCCGGCCUGAGAGGGUGACCGGCCACAUGGGGACUGAGAUACGGCCCAGACUCCUACGGGAGGCAGCAGUGGGGAAUAUUGCACAAUGGGCGGAAGCCUGAGGCAGCAACGCCGCGUGCGGGAUGACGGCCUUCGGGUUGUAAACCGCUUUCGCCUGUGACGAAGCGUGAGUGACGGUAAUGGGUAAAGAAGCACCGGCUAACUACGU